rnacentral:rRNA from 1 species
UACGUAGGGUGCAAGCGUUGUCCGGAAUUAUUGGGCGUAAAGAGCUCGUAGGCGGUUCGUCGCGUCGGCUGUGAAAUCCCGAGGCUCAACCUCGGGUCUGCAGUCGAUACGGGCGGACUGGAGUUCGGCAGGGGAGACUGGAAUUCCUGGUGUAGCGGUGAAAUGCGCAGAUAUCAGGAGGAACACCGGUGGCGAAGGCGGGUCUCUGGGCCGAUACUGACGCUGAGGAGCGAAAGCGUGGGGAGCGAACAG